GAUGAACGCUGGCGGCGUGCCUAAUACAUGCAAGUCGAGCGCAGCGGGGACGGGUGAGUAACACGUGGAUAACCUCCUAUAAGACUGGGAUAAAUUCGGGAAACCGGAGCUAAACCGGAUAUUUAUAUGUGGAUCCGCGCUGCAUUCGCUAGUUGGUAAGGUAACGGCUUACCAAGGCAACGAUGCAUAGCCGACCGUAGCGGGUGAUCGGCCACACUGGAACUGAGACACGGGCCAGACUCCUACGGGAGGCAGCAGUAGGGAAUCUGCCGAAAUGGGCGAAAGCCUGACGGAGCAACGCCGCGUGAGUGAUGAAGGUCUUCGGAUCGUAAAACUCUGUUAUUAGGGAAGCGGUACCUAAUCAGAAAGCCACGGCUAACUACGUGCCAGCAGCCGCGGUAAUUC
rnacentral:rRNA from 1 species